GCGGCAGCCUUGCUGUUGUUGUCGUCCGGCCACGGACGAGGGAGAGUUCAUGUGGCUGGUCGGAGCUGGUCUGGGUGGAGGUUAGGGCUCCGGCGGGCGGCUCCGGCUGCUGCUCGUCGGCGGGAGUCAUAGAGAGAAUUCCGAGGGAGAUAAGAGGGCGGCAAUGGUGGCGGCAUGAAGCUGCUGCCGUCGGCCAAAGUUCAGCGGAGGGAGGUAGAGCUCGGCGGCCUUGGCUGUUGUCGCUCGACCACUGUCAGAGAGAGAGAGCUGGUGGCGGCAGCUCGUCGCUGCUGCUCCUCCGGCGAGCUCCACGGUGGGCGGCUGUUACCAGCCGAAGAGAGAGGGGCCGAGGGAGGCGGCUGGUCUUUUCAGUUGAUGCGGCUGCCGGUCGACGGCUGCCUCGCCGGAAGGAUGCGCGGUGGCGGGACUGAUGGCUGAGAGAGAAGGGAGCGAGAGAUGAGGGAAGAGGGAGCCGAGAGAGGGAGAGGAGGGUGCUGCUGUGAUUGUUACGUGUGUGUGUGAGCGGCUGAGGGGGGGGGGGAGAAAAGGGGGUGGAGUGUAGGGUUGGGCUUUGGGGUUGGGUUUGAGUUGGGCUAGGGCUUAGAUGGAGUGAUGGGCCGAUUUUUUUUUAUGGGCUGGGUUCUUAAUUUAAUUUUCAGUGGGCUUGACUUGGGCCGAUUUUAAUUGAGUGUUGGGCCGAGUUUUUAUUUAUUUUUGUUUCAGUUUGGGCCUUUACUUAUUAAAUCAAUUGGGCCAUUAAUUUUCAAUUGGGCUCAGUUUAUUAAAAUGAAUGUUGGACCUUCAAUUAUUUAAAAUUGUGGGCUGCCUCCUAUUAAUUAAAUUGGGCUUUCUUAUUUUUAAUUAAUUAAACUAUUAUUAGUUUGAUUAAUUUAUUUAAAGGAUAAUUUUCAUAAUAAUAUUAUAUUAUUAUUAUGUGCAUAUUUUAAGUAAUUACUUAUUAUAUGCUAAGCAUGACAUGAUUUGCAUUAUAUUUUGCAAUAAAAAUAUUUAUGAUUUAAUUGGUUUUAUUUAUAAUUCCAAUUAUUAAAAAUAGACGAGUAAGAAUAUUGUUGGUGUUCUUAACUCAAAAGAAAUGUUUUCAAUUAUUUAUUCAUUAAAUUUUGAAAACCCGGCUAAGUGAAUCAUAGAAUAAUAAGCACUACACCAUGACUUAAGAUUAGCUUCACGAGACCUAUUAAGAAUAGAAUUUCUUGUAGGCUUUGUGACCAGGGGGAUUAGCGCUGCUUUCCCAAGACAGGUUUUUAUGUGUAUGAUCUUCAGGCUUUGCCUAUCCAGGUUGGCUGGCCGGUGCUGACGGGACGGAGCUGAGGCUAGAGUUAAAUUCCUAUGUUAGACUUCCGCUGUAGCAAUUACUCAUAUCAGUCUUUUGUUUUCCCAACUUAAGAUCUUCAUGUUAAAUUUCAAAUGAUAUAUUUGACCAAGCUUAGACUCUUCACUACUAAAUUUAUGCCAAUGAAUGUCGGUUGUCAGAAGCAUGAAACAAAACUUGUGAUCCAAAGGGGCAUAGCCCGACUUUCUAUCCUA